GGGUCUCAGCCUCAACCUCCCAGGCUCAAGCAAUCCUCCCACCUCAGCCUCCUGAGCAGCUGGGACUAUAGACAUUCACCACCACACCCAGCUAAUUUUUAAUUUUUUUUGUAGAAACAGGGUCCCACUAUGUUGUACAGGCUGGUCUCAAACUCCUGGGCUCAUGUGAUCCUCCUGUUUCAGCCUCCCAAAGUGAUAGGAUUGGAGACAUGAGCCACUGAGCCUGGCCAGUUUUUGCUGUUUAUAAUGGUCCCCAAGCAUAGCACUGAAGCACUGUCUAGUGUUCAGGGUUAAUGAAUUAACAAGAUUGAAAAAUUUCAGCAGCCUAGAAUUUUCCUGACAAAAAUGGAAAGCAGGCAGCGAAAAACUGGAAGGUUGGUUAGUGUCUAUUAAAAUAGCUUUUGAUAAGAAGGCUCAGAAGACCAGUGUUUCCAUGAACACUGACAAUUUGAUGAAGAUUUUUACAAUGGGCAUAGACCUUACCAAACCAUUUGAAUACCUUUUUGCUACGGGGAAUCUGCGUUCUAAAACAGGUCUUGGCCUCCUACAAGAUUCUGGACUUUGUGUUGUGGCUGACAAGCUGAACUUCAUACGCUACCUCUCCCAUUUCCGCUGCGUGCACAGAGGGGCUGAUUU
rnacentral:sRNA from 1 species